rnacentral:rRNA from 1 species
ACUGGAGUUUGAUCCUGGCUCAGAUUGAACGCUGGCGGCAGGCCUAACACAUGCAAGUCGAGCGGCAGCGGGAAAGUAGCUUGCUACUUUUGCCGGCGAGCGGCGGACGGGUGAGUAAUGCCUGGGGAUCUGCCCAGUCGAGGGGGAUAACAGUUGGAAACGACUGCUAAUACCGCAUACGCCCUGCGGGGGAAAGGAGGGGACCUUCGGGCCUUUCGCGAUUGGAUGAACCCAGGUGGGAUUAGCUAGUUGGUGGGGUAAUGGCUCACCAAGGCGACGAUCCCUAGCUGGUCUGAGAGGAUGAUCAGCCACACUGGAACUGAGACACGGU